GUCUGUAGCCAUACCACCCUAAAUGCACCUGAUCUAGUCUGAUCUCAGAAGCUAAGUAAGGUCCAGCCUGGUUGGUACCUGGGUGGGAAACCUUCUGGUAAUACUGGGUGCUAUAAGCU
ensembl:rRNA 5S_rRNA 5S ribosomal RNA